CCUACGGGUGGCAGCAGUGGGGAAUAUUGCACAAUGGGGGAAACCCUGAUGCAGCGACGCCGCGUGAGUGAAGAAGUAAUUCGUUACGUAAAGCUCUAUCAGCAGGGAAGAAACACUGACCUUACGGUCAGCAGACGGUACCUGAGUAAGAAGCCCCGGCUAACUACGUGCCAGCAGCCGCGGUAAUACGUAGGGGGCAAGCGUUAUCCGGAUUUACUGGGUGGAAAGGGAGCGUAGACGGGGCGCCAAGUCUGGAGUGAAAUGCCGCAGCUUAACUGCGGAACUGCUUUGGAAACUGGCGAACUAGAGUGCGGGAGGGGUAAGCGGAAUUCCUAGUGUAGCGGUGAAAUGCGUAGAUAUUAGGAGGAACACCGGUGGCGAAGGCGGCUUACUGGACCGUAACUGACGUUGAGACUCGAAAGCGUGGGGAGCAAACAGGAUUAGAUACCCCAGUAGUC
rnacentral:rRNA from 1 species